GAGUAGGUAGCGUGCUCCCCGAACGCACCCUUUCGGUACUGACAGUGAAUUUCGGAGCUAUAAAUGAUCCAUAUAGGAUAUAAAAUCUUAAAAGAUAUUGUAAUAUUUUUAGUUUAUAAUAUCUAAUUUAUUUAAAAUAACUUUUGUUCAUACAUUUAUUUUAUAAUAGAAGAAAUUCUGUAUAGAUAAGUAUGUUAUGAAAUGGAAUACUUUCCUGUCAAAGAAAAUAAUGUAUCACAAAAAGUAUCAUCAUCAAAAAUUGGCUUAUUUUUAAUUGCAGCUACAGGUGGAAUUGCAACAGCAAUUAGUGUUAUAUGUUUUCCAUUUAUAAGUCCUGCAUUUCGGAAGGUAUGUUUACCAUAUGUACCAGCUACGCAUCAACAGAUAAGAAAUGUUAUUCAAGCAUUAAAUGGUCGAUCUGGCUCUUUAAUUGAUCUUGGAAGUGGAGAUGGACGUAUAGUUCUUGCAGCAGCAAAACUGGGUUUUAAAGCUCAUGGCAUUGAAUUAAAUACCUGGCUAAUAUGGUAUUCGAGAUUUAAAGCACUUAUAAAUGGUUUAUCAAAAAAUACUGUUUUUUUAAAGCAGGAUUUAUGGAAAUACAAUCUGAAAAGAUAUAAUAAUAUUGUUAUAUUUGGUGUAGAUCAAAUGAUGGAAGAUAUUGAAAGAAAGUUUAAUAGUGAAUUGUGUAAAGAUUCACUUGUAAUUGCAUGUAGAUUUCCUCUUCCUAAUAUACACCCUAUUACGACAAUUGGACAUGGAGUUGAUACUGUUUGGGUUUACAGAAUACUUCAGGAAUGAAAUUGAGGUAACAAAGAUAUUCUUAAAUUGAUCUUAGUAGUUAAUUUAAAAUAUAGAGGUAAAAUAAAAAAAAUUGAUCUUAGUAGUUAAUUUAAAAUAUAGAGGUAAAAUAAAAAAAAUUGAAGUAUAUUUAAUACUACAUAUUUGUUAAAAUAUAAAAUACAGCAUGAAGAAUUUUUGUGUUAAUCAUAAGAAAAAUAUGUGGCCAGUGGACUUGUUCCAUGGCCACACAUACAUAAGAAAAAUAUAAAUUUAUAUCUUUACAUAUACUUAAAAUAUUAAAUAAAUUAUAUUAUUUAAUAUCCGUUAAAUAAACUAAUUUUGGUA